CAAGCCCUUUGCUUCUAUGCCUGUGCCUUUGAGAGAUAUGAGAUAGCUAGCCAAGGUGUUCACUUGAAAACCCAGCUUUAGCUAGAGAGAGAGAGAGAGAGAGAGAGAUCAGAGAGAGGACGAAGACUCUAGGUUUUUAGUUUAAGAGAGUUUACUUCUGUUUGUAGAAAUGGCCAUUCACACGUCAUGGGCUUUUGCCUUUGGCCUUCUAGGCAACAUCGUUUCAUUUAUGGUUUACCUAGCUCCACUGCCAACAUUCUAUCAGAUAUACAAAAA